AGCCCUGAGGUGUUUUACAUGUUAGAUUGCAAAUCUAAAGUGGUAGAUUGAACCUACCGGGGCUU
rnacentral:tRNA from 1 species